rnacentral:lncRNA from 1 species
AUAUGACCCCUGUCUUCAUGUGUCUCGUAUUCAUGUUUCUGUUUCCUCAUCUCUCUCUUGAGUGGGUUGUAACCCUCAUUUGAGCUUUCUGUUCAGUAAAGCGCAAUAGGUAGAGACUAGAGGGUGGCCAUUGGUGUUUAAUGUGAACUUUCUUGAUCUUUCAAGUUUCCAAGGUGUACAUGAGACCAGGGGAGAAAGCCUCUGAGCCGUCAGCUCUGCCUGCAGCUCCAGUCAAAGGUAUCUGCCUUACCUCACACUUUGGAGUUCUGUCACAUUAGUGUCAUUUAUUUCUCUAAACUAAAUAAACUAAUGCUUUAGAUAUUCUUGAUAUUUGUCUUUGCAAUGGUCAGAAAAUUGAAAUCAGUGAUAAUUUUUUAAAGUACCUGAAGUGAAGGAGUUAAAGCCUGAGGUAACUGUUGCUGCUCUGCCUCGGAGAGAAGAACCCACAACUCCACAAGAGUCUAUGGUAUACACUGAGCCAGAGCCCAAGCCACCAACAGCAGAGCUAAAAAUGGUUCUUCCCCAGCCCAAAGGGGCCAAAGUGAAGCCUGAACCUGAAUCACCUAAAAUUGAACCUGUCAAGAAACCUAUGGAAUCUCCUAAACCAAGAGCACAAGAACCACCAAAACCAAAGGAGCCUGCUGUUCAGCUGCCUACAACCAAGAUUACUCCCUCAACACUGGAAUGUGUAAGCACUAAAGGUAUUGAUCAAGAUCUUCAAUUGUCCUAAAUAAUUCCCUUUUGAAUCUUCUUUUAGUCUUUGAAUACAAUUAUAGAGAGUGUCAUCUUUGACUGCAUAUUAGUGUUGGGCAUCACUGUUGGUUAAACUAUACGCAAUGUUUCUUACCUGCAAGAUUUAUCCGGACCAGAGGAACCUGUAGUUUAUGCAUCGGCACCAAUGGUCAUUCCAGCCAAGGCUGAAGCUGGGACAAACAAAGGUACUGCAAAGAUCAGGUUGAUGAAGGCCUUGCUGCCCUGCUUUGUUUUGCCGGUGUAUUAUUAAGUGAAAUCUCAGCUUUUCAAACGUUCUUUUUUGAUCAUCUUUAAAUGUGCUAAGCACUCAUUGGAGUGGAAGUAGCACUUUUUACUUUUUUCCCCAAUAUGGUAGAUGGUAAGAUAAUAAUUUUGUAUAUAUGCAUGUUCUUCUAAGUUAUCUCACAGCCAA